AUGCCAUGUGAAGAUGAAGGCAGAGAUUGGGGUGAUAUGUCAACAAGCCAAGGAACACCAAAUAUUGCCAGAAGACCACCAGAGGCUAGGAGAGAGGCAUGGAACAGAUUCUUCCUCACACCCUCAGAAGGAACGAAUUCUGCCAAUACCUUCAUCUUGGACUUCCAGUCUCCAAAACUGUGUGGAAACUGAGGCCUGUAGAGACUGAAUAACUUGCCCAAGAUUAAGGUAGGCUCCACAUCCAGUGUGGAGCCCAACCCGGGGCUCAAACUCACAACCCUGAGAUCAAGACCUGAGCUGAGAUCAAGAGUCAGCCACUUAACCAACUGAGCCACCCAGGCGCCCUUAUUUCAGUUGUUCUCAAGUUAAAGUUAGAGCCACAUUAAGUCCAUUCUUAAACUAAGCUAAUUAACUUCUAGGCAGGAAAACACGAAUUCCAUUUGACUAUGCUAGUGGAAAAAAGACCAGUUUAAAGAGGUUAUGAAAAUCAUUAAACAUAAAACUAACAUGAAGGAGAAAAAAGAUCCCUUCAGGACCAAAGCUUUUAUAUUUCCAAGAAUAGAAGAAAUGGCAACAGGCAAAAUCACACAAUUGGAAGGUUAACAUUUUAUAAGGCAGCUGGAAAAGGCAGUCCGAGGCUGAUUUCUUAUGGACAGUACAAGAAGAAGGAAGAUCAGAGACCAAAAAUCCCUGGGCACUAAUCUUCUCAGUGUUCUUACGGUGCUGUCUCUGCACAGUUCUUUUACUGCCUCUUCUUCCAAUCUACUUUAGCAGUCUGCCAAACACCAGCCGAAUGGUCUGGUUACUUAAAAAAAUAAAAAAAUAAAAGAUAAAAAGUCCCACCCCCAGGAAUGGUUACAAUGGGGUUUCAAAAAAGCAAUUUACAAGCAAAAAUUUACAGCAGGAAACAUGAAAGGAACUGGGUUAUGCAUAAACCAUAAGACAUCUCUGCCAGGGCUCUGUUCUCUAAAAGGUUGGAUCUAAUUAUACAGGGAGCCAUGAAGGGGACAAAGUUAGCAUGAAUGACCCACAGAGCUUCAGGUUACCAAGACUGAGGGACAAGGGCUAGAGGAGGACUUUGGUGUCUCUUGAAACAAAAAUAACUCCAGCUUGACAAGGAACUAUGUGUCCCUUUUCUCUAUGAUCCUCUGGGUCUUGGUCCCUUUAAUGCUCUUUUUUAUUUGCCACUCACAGUCUCAGUUUCUUUUACCCGAGCCCUCUCCUGACUGAUGAUACUUCAUCUCUCAUUUUAAUGGACAUGUGAGGGUACAGGAUCUUCUACCCCUACCUCGGAGCAGACGUCUUAUUUCCCAGCCUUUCACACCAGGGUCCACCCAAAAAAACCAUGCUGAACUUAAAAUGAUGCAAGAUCUGCUUCCAUUAAUCCCCAGUUUAAAGCUCAGUCGUAAAGUCUCUCCAUCCCACCCCCACUCUUGUUUCUUUAUCAAGAGAAAGCAAAUCAUGUUACCAGAGUCUCAAACUCCAGCUGCUAUCUCUACCUCUACAUUCUCCAAAGGACAAGUACCGCAGUGUAAGGGGAGAAAACCCAGGCUUUAAAAUGCAGGGGGGCCUGGGUAUAAAUUCGGAUUCUGCCACUUCUUAGCACUGUGACCUUGGACAAGUGAACUAAUGCAUUUAACCUCCAUUCCCCCAUCUGUAAAAUGGGAAUAAAAGAGCCACAUUAUAGGGCUUACAUGCUGAUCAAAUGAAAUGAUGUAUUUUGUAAAAGCACAAGCUCUUACAUGUGUAUUUAAUAAGGGCUAACUAUUAGAAAAGAGGCUCUUCAGUUUUAGGGGGAUAACAUUUUCAUUUCUCGUAAUAACAUUGAUGUUCACAUCCACAUAUGAGUAACUCUUAGGAUAUAAUUGGUACCUAAGAACUACAUCAUGUCAGUCCCUUACAGCAUGAGUGAUGGACAGUAGCAGACCCUCUUGCUUACAGUUUUGAUCAAGGGGUUGCUGUACUCUUAUUUUUUGUC